rnacentral:rRNA from 1 species
UCCGUAGGUGAACCUGCGGAAGGAUCAUUAGUGAAUAUAGGACGUCCAACUUAACUUGGAGUCCGAACUCUCACUUUCUAACCCUGUGCACUUGUUUGGGAUAGUAACUCUCGCAAGAGAGCGAACUCCUAUUCACUUAUAAACACAAAGUCUAUGAAUGUAUUAAAUUUUAUAACAAAAUAAAACUUUCAACAACGGAUCUCUUGGCUCUCGCAUCGAUGAAGAACGCAGCGAAAUGCGAUAAGUAAUGUGAAUUGCAGAAUUCAGUGAAUCAUCGAAUCUUUGAACGCACCUUGCGCUCCAUGGUAUUCCGUGGAGCAUGCCUGUUUGAGUGUCAUGAAUACUUCAACCCUCCUCUUUCUUAAUGAUUGAAGAGGUGUUUGGUUUCUGAGCGCUGCUGGCCUUUACGGUCUAGCUCGUUCGUAAUGCAUUAGCAUCCGCAAUCGAAUUUCGGAUUGACUUGGCGUAAUAGACUAUUCGCUGAGGAAUUCUAGUCUUCGGAUUAGAGCCGGGUUGGGUUAAAGGAAGCUUCUAAUCAGAAUGUCUACAUUUUAAGAUUAGAUCUCAAAUCAGGUAGGACUACCCGCUGAACUUAAGCAUAUCAAUAAGCGGAGGAAAAG